UACGAGGGGGGCAAGUGUUGUUCGGAAUCACUGGGCGUAAAAAGAACGUAGGCGGAUGUUUAAGUUGAAUGUUUAAAACCGGGGCCUAACCUCGGAGCGGCAUCCAAAACUGGGCAUCUUGAAUAGGUCAGAGGCUGGUGGAAUUGGAGGUGUAGCGGUGGAAUGCGUAGAGAUCUCCAAGAACACCUAUUGCGGAGGCAGCCAGCUGGGACCAUAUUGACGCUGAGGCUCGAAAGCAUGGGGAGCAAACAGG
rnacentral:rRNA from 1 species